UCGAUUAUUCGCGCCGACACUUUGCCGGCGGGAUAGCGUUCGACAUGAAUGCAUGUCACACAACCCGCCCGGAAGGCGGGUUGU
rnacentral:sRNA from 1 species